rfam:Oryza meridionalis cultivar OR44 (W2112) chromosome 6, whole genome shotgun sequence.
UUUAAAUGCAACCAUAAGUUUUCGCAUCCAACUUUGAUCGUCCGUUUUAUUUAAAAAAAAUUUUAAUUAGUACUUUUGUUGUUAUGAGAUGAUGAAAUAUGAAUAGUACUUUACUCGUGACAUAUGUUUUUAAUUUUUUUAAAAAAAAUUUUAAAUAAGACGAAGGGUAAAAGUUGGGUGCGAAAAACUAUGGCUGCACUUAAA